rnacentral:tRNA from 1 species
CAGAAAAUAGUUUUAUAGUCUUAAAAUAUUAAUUUUGGAAAUUAAAGAAAAUUUGUAAAAUUUUUUCUGA